UUAUGAACAUGCACAGACUUACUAUUACACUGAGAUCAGAAGAGUGAAAUCCCAUAAAGAAUUUUUGAAUAAAACAACACACCAGCUUUUAUUUGUUAGACAUCAGUUCAAAAUAGCCUUCUUCAGUGAGUUGAAACAAGAUACACAAAAUGCUCUGAAGAAUUACAGGACCGCCUAUAAUCUUGUACAUGAAUUGAGAGCCCAUGAAACUAACAUUCUGGAAAUUAAGAAUAUGGCAGGAUUUAUAAAC